rnacentral:rRNA from 1 species
AUUGAACGCUGGCGGCAGGCCUAACACAUGCAAGUCGAGCGAGCGGCGGACGGGUGAGUAAUGUAUGGGGACUGCCCGAUAGAGGGGGAUAACUACUGGAAACGGUGGCUAAUACCGCAUACUAUCGGAUAACCCAUAUGGGAUUAGCUAGUAGGGGGGGUAAAGGCUCACCUAGGCGACGAUCUCUAGCUGGUCUGAGAGGAUGAUCGGCCACACGGGGAUUGGGAAACGGCCCAGACUCCUACGGGGGCAGCGGUGGGGAAGAUUGCACAAUGGGGGAAGGCCUGAGGCAGCCAUGCCGCGUGUAUGAGGAAGGCCUUAGGGUUGUAAAGUACUUUCAGCGGGGAGGCGUUACCCGCAGAAGAAGCACCGGCUAACUCCGUGCCAGCAGCCGCGGUAAUAC